CAAAAGCUCAUUGCCUUUAAAGAGGAUGAAGGCGACAGAAGUAUAAACAGGAUUUUCUCUUCUGUUUCAGAUGCUGAGGUAUCUGGGAAUGCAUCCCGAAGGGCCUCCCCUUCCCCCUGCUGCUGUCUUCUCCGUAGUCGACUACCCAGAGGAGCGGUUGGGCUCUGCAGAGCGUGUGAGGCCCUUCACCAUCGCUGCACCGGAAGGUGCUGCUAUGGAACACAGUCUGGCUAAGACCCUAGAUGUGAAGGGCAGUUCUGCCAGCAGAUACAACUCUCCAAUGGAGAACCAGAUCUUCACACACAGAACAGAAAGUCCCCAGGAUUCCUUUGCAAUGAGAUCCAAAAGUGCGCUGAAAAGAGCCUCAACCCCCACAGAACUUCUGAGGUGAGCCACACAGGAGGAGGUGGUGCCUCUGUUUCUUGGUCCUCUUGCCAAACAAGGUUCAUUGUGAGCUUAUUACCUCCAGUGCUCUGGGCACUAACUUCGUCGGGUAAUUCUCUAAAAAGGCAAUCAGCUAAUAGUUGCUAAAAAGGUUAUUUAUUGCAAAAGCACAUCAGUCUCCA
rnacentral:lncRNA from 12 species